rnacentral:rRNA from 1 species
GACGAACGCUGGCGGCGUGCCUAAUACAUGCAAGUAGAACGCUGAAGAGAGGAGCUUGCUCUUCUUGGAUGAGUUGCGAACGGGUGAGUAACGCGUAGGUAACCUGCCUUGUAGCGGGGGAUAACUAUUGGAAACGAUAGCUAAUACCGCAUAACAAUGGAUGACACAUGUCAUUUAUUUGAAAGGGGCAAUUGCUCCACUACAAGAUGGACCUGCGUUGUAUUAGCUAGUAGGUGAGGUAACGGCUCACCUAGGCGACGAUACAUAGCCGACCUGAGAGGGUGAUCGGCCACACUGGGACUGAGACACGGCCCAGACUCCUACGGGAGGCAGCAGUAGGGAAUCUUCGGCAAUGGGGGCAACCCUGACCGAGCAACGCCGCGUGAGUGAAGAAGGUUUUCGGAUCGUAAAGCUCUGUUGUAAGUCAAGAACGAGUGUGAGAGUGGAAAGUUCACACUGUGACGGUAGCUUACCAGAAAGGGACGGCUAACUACGUGCCAGCAGCCGCGGUAAUACGUAGGUCCCGAGCGUUGUCCGGAUUUAUUGGGCGUAAAGCGAGCGCAGGCGGUUUGAUAAGUCUGAAGUUAAAGGCUGUGGCUCAACCAUAGUUCGCUUUGGAAACUGUCAAACUUGAGUGCAGAGGGGGAGAGUGGAAUUCCAUGUGUAGCGGUGAAAUGCGUAGAUAUAUGGAGGAACACCGGUGGCGAAAGCGGCUCUCUGGUCUGUAACUGACGCUGAGGCUCGAAAGCGUGGGGAGCGAACAGGAUUAGAUACCCUGGUAGUCCACGCCGUAAACGAUGAGUGCUAGGUGUUGGAUCCUUUCCGGGAUUCAGUGCCGCAGCUAACGCAUUAAGCACUCCGCCUGGGGAGUACGACCGCAAGGUUGAAACUCAAAGGAAUUGACGGGGGCCCGCACAAGCGGUGGAGCAUGUGGUUUAAUUCGAAGCAACGCGAAGAACCUUACCAGGUCUUGACAUCCCGAUGCUAUUUCUAGAGAUAGAAAGUUACUUCGGUACAUCGGUGACAGGUGGUGCAUGGUUGUCGUCAGCUCGUGUCGUGAGAUGUUGGGUUAAGUCCCGCAACGAGCGCAACCCCUAUUGUUAGUUGCCAUCAUUCAGUUGGGCACUCUAGCGAGACUGCCGGUAAUAAACCGGAGGAAGGUGGGGAUGACGUCAAAUCAUCAUGCCCCUUAUGACCUGGGCUACACACGUGCUACAAUGGUUGGUACAACGAGUUGCGAGUCGGUGACGGCAAGCUAAUCUCUUAAAGCCAAUCUCAGUUCGGAUUGUAGGCUGCAACUCGCCUACAUGAAGUCGGAAUCGCUAGUAAUCGCGGAUCAGCACGCCGCGGUGAAUACGUUCCCGGGCCU